rnacentral:rRNA from 1 species
GACGAACGCUGGCGGCGUGCUUAACACAUGCAAGUCGAACGGAAAGGCCCUGCUUUUGUGGGGUGCUCGAGUGGCGAACGGGUGAGUAACACGUGAGUAACCUGCCCUUGACUUUGGGAUAACUUCAGGAAACUGGGGCUAAUACCGGAUAGGAGCUCCUGCUGCAUGGUGGGGGUUGGAAAGUUUCGGCGGUUGGGGAUGGACUCGCGGCUUAUCAGCUUGUUGGUGGGGUAGUGGCUUACCAAGGCUUUGACGGGUAGCCGGCCUGGGAGGGGGACCGGCCACAUUGGGACGGAGGUACGGCCCAGACUCCUACGGGAGGCAGCAGGGGGGAAUAUUGCACAAUGGGCGGAAGCCUGAUGCAGCAACGCCGCGUGCGGGAUGACGGCCUUCGGGUUGUAAACCGCUUUCGCCUGUGACGAAGCGUGAGUGACGGUAAUGGGUAAAGAAGCACCGGCUAACUACGUA